rnacentral:rRNA from 1 species
GUGACGGAGCGACGCCGCGUGGAGGACGAAGGCCUUCGGGUUGUAAACUCCUGUCAGAGGGUAUGAAUGUGUUCGUCGACCCACUUCGAACACUUGACGUCAACCUCAAAGGAAGCUCCGGCUAACUACGUGCCAGCAGCCGCGGUAAUACGUAGGGAGCUAGCGUUGUUCGGAAUCACUGGGCAUAAAGAGUGCGCGGGCGGCUCGUCGUGUCCGUUGUGAAAGCCCCCGGCUUACCCGAGGAACUGCAACGGAAACUGGCGGGCUAGAGGACAGAAGGGGAGAGUGGAACUCUAGGUGGAGCGGUGAUAUGCGUUGAUAUCUAGAGGAACGCCUGUGGCGAAAGCGGCUCUCUGGUCUGUCCCUGACGCUGAGGCACGAAAGCUAGGGGAGCGAACGGGAUUAGAUACCCCGGUAGUCCUAGCCCUAAACGAUGGGCACUAAGUAGAGGGGUUUU